UAAUUGUUAGUGUGUCUGUGUGUACAUCUAAUUGUUAUUGUCUUUAACCAAAUGUUAGUGUGUCUGUGUGUACAUCUAAUUGUUAGUGUGUCUGUGUGUGGAUCUAAUUGUUAGUGUGUCUGUGUGUACAUCUAAUUGUUUGUGUGUCUGUGUUUAGAACCAAAUGUUAGUGUGUCUGUGUGUACAUCUAAUUGUUAGUGUGUCUGUGUGUACAUCUAAUUGUUAUUGUCUUUGUGUACAUCUAAAUAUUAGUGUGUGUCAUUGUUUAGAACCAAAUGAUAGUGUGUCUGUGUGUAGAUCUCAUUGUUAGUGUGUCUGUGUGUACAUCUAAUCGUUUAUUGUGUCUUUGUGUACAUCUAAAUAUUAGUGUGUGUCAUUGUUUAGAACCAAAUGAUAGUGUGUCUGUGU
ensembl:lncRNA